ACUGCUGGAAGGGCCGCUGAGGAUGCAGGAUGCAAGGCCCCACUUCACCCUGGUGCAGGCAACCGGAAGUGCAGGUGGCCCCUGGAUGCUUCAUGCAAACCUAUGAGAAAUCUGCAGCCGGGCCAUGCUCAUAGAGGAGGCUGUUCGUGCAGAGAGCCUACAAAUGGGGUUCCAGUUCCACAGACCCUUCUGGAAGGGGGAAGAGCCAAUGCCUACUAGGCCAUGCCUAGCCUAACACUUUCAUGGAAGCCUUCGCUAACUGAGUGUCCGCCGGUUAUGAAGUGACAGCAGCUGCCUCAAGUCUGGGGUGGCACCAGAAACUACUAAAAAUACCAAGACAGAAUCCAGUGGCCUGUGGUGGCUCCUGGACCACAGGAGGAAGAUGGCAGGCCUCUGCCAGCCAUGCCCUGCAGCUGGGUCUGCCUGCCUGCUUGCCUCCACAUGCCUCUGUUACCUCAGCUGGUGCUAUUAGCCUCCAGGCCAGCUGUCUGUCCUACUGGGGGUGGGGGUGGGGGACACAGGCCUGCCAUGGGGUUUACUGGGGCAGUACAAAUGUUGUGUAGGGUCCCUGGCUGCUAGGGGAGUGUGGGCCCUUCCCUCCCACUGCCUGCAGCAGGAUCGGGAGUAAUUAGAGACUAUUAGAGGAAAUUAGGCCUCACCUCCAGAUGUAACUUAAUGACCUACCCCACCCUCUCCUAAUACCUUGGGCCCCACCCCCUCCACAUCUGGACCAACAGCCUUCAGGUUCAGGGGCCCUAAACACCCAGCCACGAGUCCCAGGCUUCCAGGUUCCCCACCCCAAGAUGGGCAAGCUCUCUGCUUUCCUGGUCCAACCUUCCUGCCCACCCCCACCCACGCUUGCAGACUUACGACGGGCUCCCUAUGGCCCGCGGCAUCUUCCAACAGGAAGCACCAGGGCUCAUAAUUAAAGGCUGCUCCGGCAGGUAACGAGCAUCCUGCAGAGGUCGGACUGGAUGGAGUUGAGCAUUAGAGGGGCUUUUGUGCCUGCUCGCUUUCAAGGACUGAGUUUUCCUGCCCUUGCUUGCCUCCGUUGAACUGAACGGUGCCAGAGGGCCAUGGCCUGAGGUCCUUUGGGAAGAAGGACGCCCCAAAUCUUCCUUUACAUCUUACGCAAUCCAGGAGUCAUAUGAAACCACGGUGCUCUUGCCCCAGGGUCCUGGCAAGGAAAUGGGCUGACUGGCUGGCUGCUUCGAUAGCAUCACUCAGACCCCGCCCAACUGAGGGCUCUUGGCCUCAUCUGCCUGUCAACUGCCUAAUGGUUAUGAUUUGUUCUGCCUUCCUGGAAGCCCUACACAGCAGUCCCUUGUGGGAGCCACAAGUGUAGGAACUAAACAAGCCAGUGAACCUCUGGACAGAAGGCAGAAACAUCCCGUCUACCUUUCCAUCUAGAAAAUGUGAGCUUCUUUGGGUGUGACUGGCUUCCCUGCUGAGGGGUAUCUAGCAGCCCUUCCAGCUGCUGCCCACUGGGUACCAAAGACACCAGCUCACUGUGGCCAUCAGCGACGCCCAGGAUACGCAUCUGCCCCACUUAGGAACUGCAGAACCAGCUGCCUCAGUAUCCACCUGUCCUCGUACCCACCCACCGGGGACUCACCAUGUCAGGAAAGAAGGCUUCAGCGUAGGCUCCCUUCAGGAAGAAGAGCUGUGGAAUGUCCACGAUGUCGCUCUCGGAGAGGCCCAGCUCCCGCUUUAGCACCUCGCGGUUCCAGUCGAUGCAUUUCUGGGGAAGAGGGAAGCCGUGGGCCAAUGCAGAGGACUCUUAAGUGCGCUGUGCCUGUGCGCAGCCCUGCGCUCCUGGGGGGGGGGGGCCUCCAAGCCUCACAGUGGCUUUGUGCAAAUGGACUCACAGGUGUCCGAAAUGGGGAAACUGAGACCCAAGGCAGCUCACCUAACUGUGCAGAGCCAGGGAAAAGUUGAAGUUUGGUUCUGAAGGUCCCUGUCACUUGAUUACAAUUUUUUUUAAUUAUUAUUUUUAAAUUG
rnacentral:lncRNA from 1 species